rnacentral:rRNA from 1 species
CCUACGGGAGGCAGCAGUGAGGAAUAUUGGUCAAUGGUCGGGCGACUGAACCAGCCAAGCCGCGUGAGGGAUGAAGGUACAGAGUAUCGUAAACCUCUUUUGUCAGGGAACAAAGGCGGGGACGUGUCCCCGGAUGAGUGUAACCGAAGAAAAAGCAUCGGCUAACUCCGUGCCAGCAGCCGCGGUAAUACGGAGGAUGCGAGCGUUAUCCGGAUUUAUGGGGUUUAAAGGGUGCGCAGGCGGUCGGUAAAGUCAGCGGUAAAAGCCCGGGGCUCAACCCCGGCCCGCCGUUGAAACUGGCAGUCUCGAGUUGGAGAGAAGUAUGCGGAAUGCGCGGUGUAGCGGUGAAAUGCAUAGAUAUCGCGCAGAACUCCGAUUGCGAAGGCAGCAUGCCGGCGCCACACUGACGCUGAGGCACGAAAGCGUGGGUAUCGAACAGGAUUAGAUACCCGAGUAGUC